CACAGUAUGUGAUGCUGGUGGCCCACAGCCAGUGUGGGGCGCCUCAUGGGCUCUCAUCGCAGAGGAGGUAGCUCCUUUGAAUGUUCCGAAGGAUGCAGGGGAGGGAGAAGAUUGUCCUGCUCAGCCCUCCACCCGCAGCCACUGUCUGGAGAGGCGCUCUGUGCCCUUUUAGAGGUUCUCUUGGAAGAAUGGCCAGGGGGAGGAGGCACAUGGAACAGACAUUUGGAGGAUGUCAACCAAGAGGGUCCUUGGCCAGUCACAACACACUCAACCCAUCCUCCCUGCAGAUACGGAACCCUCUAAGAAUGGCAAACAUCACUUUAUAGCGUGUAAUAAAUCAGAAAUCCUAGGA